CUUUAGUUAACUUAAUUUCGCACGUAAGAUCGAAUUGGAUAAUUGACUAGAACGUAAACUCGAUAAAUCCUAAAAAUUGCAGUGGUAUUAGACCGUUCUGGAUUCUUUCAAGUGGUAUCAAAGCAUUACUAGACGUUCUAGAAUCUUCACACUCGAAAAAGACGUAUUUGAAUAAAGGUCCAAAAAACAAGAGAAAGAACCCCAAAUAUCUCUUCAUUUGUCUGAGCGUGAUGAAUGUCCCCUGUAAAUGUGCUAUUGUAUAUAUAGAGAGGUGAAAUGCUAAGGUCUCCAUAUACAAACCCAAGACUCUGAUACGCUAAAAGCAGAGUGGUCUUCCAAGAAUCCUUCUAAAAAAUCGAUUAACGAUCAAUAUUUGAAGAAUGUAGCAGCCCAAAUAGGAACGUACAAGGGAAACUUUAAAGUAAAGUACACUUUACUAACAAACCCUGCAUAUAAUGGCAAGUUGGACCCAUAAUUGUUGUAAAUAAAUGACAAGAACUGUGAAUUAAAAAUCUUUGAAGUGCCCCAGCAACUCCCAUAGUCAAGAUCCAUGGUUCUUGAACGUUAAUCUUUGUUCAAAAUUGCAGGUAAUUGUAAUAAUUUACUGUAGAUCAUCAAAGAAGCAGAUAUAGCAGAUAUACGAAAUUAGCCCCGAAAAAAAAUAAAAAAAUGAAGAGAUAAUACAACAAGAAAACACCAAAUGAUAGCCUAAUAGCUCUAAUUUCAAACCAAAAAUAUGUAAAAAGCAACAACCAUUGCCUACUUCUUACUAAACCCAUGUGCCAUUCUCACACCUUCCGCAUUUUCAAUAAGAUGACAUCUGUAAUCUUAAGAACAUUAAAUGAGGCCUCAAAGUCAUCUUUAUCAAAAUCAUUAGCAAAAUGUGAGCGCCAAAUUAAUUGAAACUCAUCCAUUUGCUACACUUUCUUCCUUUGUGGUUGACCAUAAGGAAAAUUUCUAGAUUCUACAGUGACUAUUUGCCUUUAGCAUAAGCAAGGAAAAACCCAUCCAAUACAGAUAAAGAUAUCUUGAAACCCACAAAAAUUGUUACAGUUUACACAAAAAUCGGUGUUGAUAAUUCUUAAUUUUUCCAUAGACAACAAAAUACAUUAGGCAAGAAAACCAAGAUCACAUGAUUCAACGACUGGAGCAUUAUCAAAUCAAUCCCACCAACUUGAGCCCAUAGGAAUAAAGGCGAAUUUAAGGACCUCCAAACCCAUUCUCUUCAUCCAUACCCCUAUACAUAUAUGCAUACAAAUAGAUAAUACACAUAUAUGUGCUAAUAUUUUACUUAAUUUUACUCUUCGCUUGAAGAUUGAGCCAAAUUCCGACCGACUUGAAGAAAUGGGAACACACACGGACGCAUAUACACAAAUUUUGUUAAAAAAAUGUACAAGAGAAAAAGAAUAACACGACUUGCUUUAAAAGCUGACAAUGGGUAGCUCAAGAUAUGAAUACAUGGCUCUGAUUUCACCUAAAACUAAUUCAACUAUGGCUCAAUAAGGAUCUCGAAAGCAUUCUAAAUAAAACUAAUUGGCAACACUUACCAGGUUUAAAAGCAAAUACGAAUACAAAUUCUGUGAAGGCCUUGAAAUUGUGAAAGAUGAAAGGUAGAGGAAUGUACCAGUUUCAUCCUGUGUCAUCUUGCGUAUAGAUGCUGCACCACGUGAUUGUAGUAUGGACCACCCACUGACCACCGUGCAUUCACAGCUUCGACGUUUAUCAACAAUAUGUACUUUUUUCUGUUCCAAUUCUAAAUUAUAAAAGUUAAACUACUGCAGAAUUUAGGGCAUCAUUUUUCAUAUCACCAUUGGUAAGUUUCUCUGCUGUUUAUCUUUUUCCUUUUCCACGUGUUAUGCUUUGACAUAAUUUGAUGUAACUGAAUAUGAUUUAAUAGGAAAGCCGAUUGUGUUUAAAACGGUUCAAUAAUAUCAUGUUACGUGAGAUUUUAUCAAAUUUUAUAUUAAAAAAUCUGACACUGUA
rnacentral:lncRNA from 1 species